rnacentral:rRNA from 1 species
GGGCCAGACUCCUACGGGAGGCAGCAGUGGGGAAUAUUGCACAGUGGGGGAAACCCUGAUGCAGCAACGCCGCGUGAAGGAAGACGGUUUUCGGAUUGUAAACUUCUGUUCUUAGUGAAGAAGGAUGACGGUAGCUAAGGAGCAAGCCACGGCUAACUACGUGCCAGCAGCCGCGGUAAUACGUAGGGGGCAAGCGUUAUCCGGAUUUACUGGGUGUAAAGGGAGCGUAGACGGCAGCGCAAGUCUGGAGUGAAAUGCCGGGGCCCAACCCCGGAACUGCUUUGGAAACUGUGCAGCUCGAGUGCAGGAGAGGUAAGCGGAAUUCCUAGUGUAGCGGUGAAAUGCGUUGAUAUUAGGAGGAACACCAGUGGCGAAGGCGACUUUCUGGACUGUACCUGACGCUGAGGCGCGAAAGCGUGGGUAUCGAACGGGAUUAGAUACCCGUGUAU